UACGUAGGCAGCGAGCGUUGUUCGGAGUUACUGGGCGUAAAGGGUGUGUAGGCGGUUGUUUAAGUUUGGUGUGAAAUCUCCCGGCUCAACUGGGAGGGUGCGCCGAAUACUGAAUGACUUCGAGUGCGGGAGAGGAGAGUGGAAUUCCUGGUGUAGCGGUGAAAUGCGUAGAUAUCAGGAGGAACACCGGUGGUGUAGACGGCUCUCUGGACCGUAACUGACGCUGAGACACGAAAAGCGUGGGUAGCAAACAGG
rnacentral:rRNA from 1 species